UGAGGAAUAUUGGUCAAUGGGCGAGAGCCUGAACCAGCCAUGUAGCGUGCAGGAUGACGGCCCUUUGGGUUGUAAACUGCUUUUAUGUGGGGAUAAAGUGCGUGACGUGUCAUGCAUUGCAGGUACCACAUGAAUAAGGACCGGCUAAUUCCGUGCCAGCAGCCGCGGUAAUACGGAAGGUCCGGGCGUUAUCCGGAUUUAUUGGGUUUAAAGGGAGCGUAGGCUGUCUAUUAAGCGUGUUGUGAAAUUUACCGGCUCAACCGGUGGCUUGCAGCGCGAACUGGUCGACUUGAGUAUGCAGGAAGUAGGCGGAAUUCAUGGUGUAGCGGUGAAAUGCUUAGAUAUCAUGACGAACUCCGAUUGCGCAGGCAGCUUACUGUAGCAUAACUGACGCUGAUGCUCGAAAGUGCGGGUAUCAAACAGG
rnacentral:rRNA from 1 species